GAACGCUGGCGGCAGGCUUAACACAUGCAAGUUGAACGUGAUUUGUUUGGUGCUUGCACCGAGCAAUGAAAGUAGCGCACUGGUGAGUAACACGUGGGAACGUACCUUUUGGUGGGGAACAACAGUUGGAAACGACUGCUAAUACCGCAUAAGCCCUGAGGGGGAAAGAUUUAUCGCCGAAAGAACGGCCCGCGGAAGAUUAGGUAGUUGGUGGGGUAACGGCCUACCAAGCCGACGAUCUAUAGCUGGUCUGAGAGGACGAUCAGCCACAUUGGAACUGAGACACGGUCCAAACUCCUACGGGAGGCAGCAGUGAGGAAUAUUGGGCAAUGGAGGCAACUCUGACCCAGCCAUGCCGCGUGAGUGAAGAAGGUUUUCGGAUUGUAAAGCUCUUUCGGGUGUGACGAUGAUGACGGUAGCACCUAAAGAAGCCCCGGCUAACUUCGUGCCAGCAGCCGCGGUAAUACGAAGGGGGCAAGCGUUGUUCGGAAUUACUGGGCGUAAAGGGAGUGUAGGCGGUUAUGUAAGAUAGUGGUGAAAUCCCAGAGCUUAACUUUGGAAUUGCCAUUAUGACUAUGUGGCUAGAAUUACAGAGAGGAUAGUGGAAUACCCAGUGUAGAGGUGAAAUUCGUAGAUAUUGGGUAGAACACCAGUGGCGAAGGCGACUAUCUGGCUGUAUAUUGACGCUGAGGCUCGAAAGCAUGGGGAUCAAACAGGAUUAGAUACCCUGGUAGUCCAUGCUGUAAACGAUGAGUGCUUGUUGUCGGUGUAAAAUCGGUGACGAAGUUAACGCGUUAAGCACUCCGCCUGGGGAGUACGGUCGCAAGAUUAAAACUCAAAGGAAUUGACGGGGACCCGCACAAGCGGUGGAGCAUGUGGUUUAAUUCGA
rnacentral:rRNA from 1 species